AGGGAUUGCCUCAGUAAACGGCGAGUGAAGCGGCAACAGCUCAAAUUUGAAAUCUGGCCCCAGGCCCGAGUUGUAAUUUGCAGAGGAUGCUUUUGGUGAGGUGCCUUCCGAGUUCCCUGGAACGGGACGCCAUAGAGGGUGAGAGCCCCGUCUGGUCGGACACCGAGCCUCUGUAAAGCUCCUUCGACGAGUCGAGUAGUUUGGGAAUGCUGCUCUAAAUGGGAGGUAUAUGUCUUCUAAAGCUAAAUAUUGGCCAGAGACCGAUAGCGCACAAGUAGAGUGAUCGAAAGAUGAAAAGCACUUUGAAAAGAGAGUUAAAUAGCACGUGAAAUUGUUGAAAGGGAAGCGUUUAUGACCAGACUUGGCCCGGUUGAUCAUCCAGCGUUCUCGCUGGUGCACUCUGCCGGUCCAGGCCAGCAUCAGUUCGUCGCGGGGGAUAAAGGUUUCGGGAAUGUGGCUCCCUCGGGAGUGUUAUAGCCCGUUGCGUAAUACCCUGCGGUGGACUGAGGUUCGCGCAUUCGCAAGGAUGCUGGCGUAAUGGUCAUCAACGACCCGUCUUGAAACACGGACCAAGGAGUCGUCUUCGUAUGCGAGUGUUCGGGUGUAAAACCCCUACGCGUAAUGAAAGUGAACGCAGGUGAGAGCUUCGGCGCAUCAUCGACCGAUCCUGAUGUUCUCGGAUGGAUUUGAGUAAGAGCAUACGGGGCCGGACCCGAAAGAAGGUGAACUAUGCCUGUAUAGGGUGAAGCCAGAGGAAACUCUGGUGGAGGCUCGCAGCGGUUCUGACGUGCAAAUCGAUCGUCAAAUAUGGGCAUGGGGGCGAAAGACUAAUCGA
rnacentral:rRNA from 1 species